rnacentral:rRNA from 1 species
GAUGAACGCUGGCGGCGUGCUUAAUACAUGCCAGUCGAGCGGACGGACGCGAAGCUUCUUUCUCUGUUGUUAGCGGCAGACGGGUGAGUAACACGUGGAAACCCUCCCUAUAUUACGGGGAUAACUUCGGGACACGGGAGCUAAUACCGGAUGAUAUUUUUAACGACAUGGUUCUAAAGUGAUAUUCGGGCUUGGGGUGACUUAUAGGUCUAUCCGCGUUGCAUUAGCUAGUUGGUAAGGUAACGGCUUACCGAGGCAACGAGGCAUAGCAGACCUGCGCGGGGGAUACGCCACACGGGAACUGAGGGACGGACCAGACUCCUACGAGAGGCCGCAGUAGGGCAUGUUCCGGCAGGGGCGAAAGCCUGACGGAGCAACGCCGCGUGAGGGAGGGAGGUCGUCGGGUCGUAAAACGCUGUUAUGAGGGAAGAACAUAUGUGUAGGGAACUGUGCACAUCGUGACGGUACCUGGACAGAAAGCAACGGCUAACUACGUG